AGCUCCAAUAGCGUAUGUUAAAGGUGUUGCGGCUAAAAAGCUCGUAGUUGGAUUUCUGUUGAGGACGUCCGGUCCGCUCUAUGAGCAUGCAUCUGGCUCGGCCUCGGCAUCCGCUCUGCAUACGUGUCUGCGCUUGAUUGCGUGGCACGGAGGUAGGGCCUUUUACUUUGAGGAAAUUAGAGUGUUCACGGCAGGCAGUCGCCCUGAAUAUAUUAGCAUGGAAUAAUAACAUAGGAUCUCGGUUCUAUUUUGUUGGUUUCUAGGGCUGAGAUAAUGAUUAAUAGGGACAAUUGGGGGCAUUCGUAUUGCGGUGUCAGAGGUGGGAUUCUUGGAUUACUGCACGACGAACUACUGCGAAAGCAUUUGCCAAGGAUGUUUUCA
rnacentral:rRNA from 1 species